CACGGGGGGGCGAGCGUUAUUCAUAUGGACUGGGCGUAAAGGGUUCGUAGUUGCUCUGAACACUUUUGUGGCAAAAGAAAUAGGCUUAAACUUUGGCUGCCACUUAAUAGAUCAGAUGCUAGAGUUUAAGAGAGGAAAAUUAGAACUAUUAAAGGAGAAGUGGAAUUCAUUAAUAUUAAUAGGACUACCGAAAGGCGAAGGCUUUUUUCUGGCUUAGACUGACACUGAUGGACGAAGGCAUAGGGAGCAAACAGG
rnacentral:rRNA from 1 species